AUUUAAUUAACUUUUUUUUAGCAAAAUUAAUCAUUUUUAGUAUUUAUAAAAAAUUAAAUUUAAAAUCUGAUAGGAAUAAUUUUUAAAUCUAAACAAUUAAUUAUUGUACCUUUUGUAUCAGGAUUAAUUAAUUAAUAAAAUUAUUUAUAUUCUCGAAUUAAAAAUACUCAAUGUUAAGUUUAAUUUUAUGUUUCAUAAUAAUAAAUAACUUAAUAUUUGUAGUAAAAAGUUAAUCGUUUUUUAUAUAUAUCUAGUUUCUUUAGAUUAAAUCUAAUUUAGGUUUAUUUAUAAACUUAUGGUAUAAGGGAUAAUCUUUAUAUUUUUUUUAUAAUUUUAUAAAAUAAAUUUUUAUUAUAUUUUAUAUUUUUAUUGAAGUUUUUAAUAAAUUAAAAUUUUAAUUUAAUAUUUAAUUAUUAUUUAUAUUUUUAUAUAGAAUUUUUAUAAAAUAAUUWUAUAUUAUUAAUAAUGAUUAUAUUAGUAUUUAAUUAAAAUUAUUUUUAAUGAAUUCAACAAUUAUAAUUUUCAACUGUUUAUCAAAAACAUUUUCUUUAGUAAAAUUUAAAGAUAGGCUCUGCCCUAUGAUUAUUUAAAUGGCUGCAGUAUACUAACUGUGCAAAGGUAGCAUAAUAAUUAGUCUUUUAAUUGAAGGCUUGCAUGAAUGAGUUAAUGARAAAUUAAUUUUAUUAAUUUUAUUAAUUAAAUUUAAUUUUUUUGUUAAAAAGCUUAAUUUUAUUAUUGGGACGAUAAGACCCUACAGAACUUGAAUUAAUAAAUUUAAAUUUAUUAAUUUAAUAAUUUUUAAAAAAAAAUAAUUUUUUCUGGGGAAGAAAAUAAAUUUUAAAUUUUAUAUARAAUAUUUCAUUUAUUUAUGUUAAACAUAUUUAUAAUUUAUAAUUAUAAGUUAAAGUUACCUUAGGGAUAACAGCGUAAUUUAAGUGGGGAGUUCAUAUCUAUACUUAAGUUUGCGACCUCGAUGUUGAAUUAAAAUAUAAAUAAGAAGCAGCAUUUUUAUUGUAAAGUCUGUUCGACUUUUAAAAUUUUACAUGAUUUGAGUUCAAACCGGUGUAAGCCAGGUUGGUUUCUAUCUUUUAAUUAYUAUAUAUUUUAGUACGAAAGGACCAAAUAUAAUAUAAUUUAUAGYUAAAUUU
rnacentral:rRNA from 1 species